GUGGGGAAUAUUGCACAAUGGGCGCAAGCCUGAUGCAGCAACGCCGCGUGAGGGACGACGGCCUUCGGGUUGUAAACCUCUUUUAGCAGGGAAGAAGCGAAAGUGACGGUACCUGCAGAAAAAGCACCGGCUAACUACGUGCCAGCAGCCGCGGUAAUACGUAGGGUGCAAGCGUUGUCCGGAAUUAUUGGGCGUAAAGAGCUCGUAGGCGGUUUGUCGCGUCUGCUGUGAAAACCCGAGGCUCAACCUCGGGCCUGCAGUGGGUACGGGCAGACUAGAGUGCUGUAGGGGAGAUUGGAAUUCCUGGUGUAGCGGUGGAAUGCGCAGAUAUCAGGAGGAACACCGAUGGCGAAGGCAGAUCUCUGGGCCGCUACUGACGCUGAGGAGCGAAAGCAUGGGGAGCGAACAGGAUUAGAAACCCCAGUAGUCC
rnacentral:rRNA from 1 species